CUAAACUUCAACAGAAGCAACAGUGGAACUCCGAGGUGCUCCUGUGGAGUGGGAGGCAGUCGCCCUGCUUGGUCCCAAUAAUGCGCUCGGCACUUAGUGCUCAUAAUAAACAGCUCUCUUCCUGUGCUCUCGGGGAAUCUGAUCUUUCACUGAGGAACAUAGGAAAGUGGCCACCAAGGUCAUCUUCUUUCCUUGUGUGCCCUGACUUUGCUGUGUGUCUGCAUCUCUUCCCACCAUGUAGCUCCUCAAGCAAGAUUGAGUCUAUUCCAGACCUGGACUCUUGGCUGAUCCACAUGACUUGCUCUGAGCAAGUUAGGAGGUCUGAUGCUAGCAGAGACUUGAAAACCCUGGGCACUGGGUCUUGCUGUCUUGUGAGUCUUUGGAGCCCUGACUCUAUUACAUCCUGCUCCAAGCCUGGAGACCAAGAAGCCUUCUGGAAUGAAGACUCCACAGCCCAAUCCCCUGUGGGAGCCAGCAUGUGGGAGAGAUCAGUCUAGACUGCCAUGCCUUGAUCAAACCUGCCUCAACGGAGCAACCCUGUGUAUGAUCCAAAGAUGGCAGAAGUGAAAGUGUGCACAGCUUCAAGGGCCAAAGUUUCAGGGGUAGUUUGUUACACAGCAACAAACAGUUGAUACAUUUUCUACGCUGCCUUUGUUGCUGUUGUGAAUGGAAAUCUUUCGGAAAACACGGCUAGCAUUUCCCAGCGUAAACAGAGCAUCGAGGAAUGUGGAAACAUAAGCACUCACACUAUGCGGCAACAGUAGGAAGAUGGGCUGGUUGUGUUAAGAAACAGAAUGAACGCCACGUUCAGCUCACACAGCCCGACGCCCUGUGUGAGGAAGACGCAAAGCAAGGCGGUGUUUAUGCUGAAUUCUUCAUGGCAAAGUUAACUUUGUGAUUUGUUUAUACUUUUCCCCAUUUCCUUGGUUCCGCCACACUGUCUGGGUUUUAACAGGCUUCAGUUUUCCCUCGUUUGCUGAGACAACGUCUGAGUUAAGGAUUAACAUUUGUACAGUGAAACGUAAAUGCUUGUGGGAUGUAUAUAAUAUUUUAGGGAAAGCUUAUGCAGCUUUACCCCUUUCACAGAGUUUUGGUUUCACGAGGAGCCUUCUGAUAUUUCCUUACAAGUCCACUUUGAUACAUGCUGCAGAGGCAGAAAGAAAAGUAGAACAUUUUUUAUUCUGGGGCUCAUAGUUAUAGUAGGUAGUUGGUUUAGACAGUGAGUUAUAGAGAAUAACUCUCAAACUGUACUUCGCUUUUUCUAUUUUCUAUUAUGUCAUAUUUCAACUACCUGUCUUAAUAGAUUAAUCUGAAUUUCUUAAGUUACAUUGAAGUAAAUGUAUAAUAUGAUCAGAUUGAGUAAGAGUAAUACUUCUUAGUACAAUAAAAUGUCCACGUUAUAAUACAUUUCUAUAGUUUGUAUGGAGUGUGUUUUUGAAAUCAUUUGGUUUCCCUAUUUUUGCCUUUCUUUGAGACUCUUGAAAUCAGCUGCCCGUGUCCCACAACAUCCAAUUGUCUAAAUUAUCUAAAUAUCCUAGAGCUGG
rnacentral:lncRNA from 1 species